GAUGAAGAACGUAGCGAAAUGCGAUAAGUAAUGUGAAUUUCAGAAUUCAGUGAAUCAUCGAAUCUUUGAACGCACAUUGCGCCCGCCAGUAUUCUGGCGGGCAUGCCUGUUCGAGCGUCAUUUCAACCAUCAAGCCCCCGGCUUGUGUUGGGGACCUGCGGCUGCCGCAGGCCCUGAAAAGCAGUGGCGGGCUCGCUGUCACACCGAGCGUAGUAGCAUACAUCUCGCUCUGGGCGUGCUGCGGGUUCCGGCCGUUAAACCACCUUCAUAACCCAAGGUUGACCUCGGAUCAGGUAGGAAGACCCGCUGAACUUAAGCAUAUCAAUAAGCGGAGGA
rnacentral:misc_RNA from 1 species